rnacentral:rRNA from 1 species
AUACGGAGGGUGCGAGCGUUGUUCGGAAUCACUGGGCGUAAAGGGCGCGCAGGCGGUUUGUCAAGUCAGAUGUGAAAGGCCACGGCUCAACCGUGGAGGUGCAUCUGAAACUGGCAGACUUGAGUACCGGAGGGGAAAGUGGAAUUCCCGGUGUAGAGGUGAAAUUCGUAGAUAUCGGGAGGAACACCGGAGGCGAAGGCGACUUUCUGGACGGAUACUGACGCUGAGGCGCGAAAGCGUGGGGAGCAAACAGAAUUAGAUACCCUAGUAGUCC